ACCCUUUCGUGUUUCAAAAAAAAAACUACCCUGUUCAUAUUCUUUCUUUCUCUCCCGAGUCAUCUCCUUCUGAAACUCGAUCUGAUCACUGAGAAUCUACGGCGACGAAGAAGGUGGAGGAGGAAGAGGAAGAAUGAGAAUCUCAGGCUAUGUAAUCGUUGUUCUAUUUGUAACUGUAUUCUAUUCCGUCGAUCGUAGCGUUCACGCGCGUCCCGUCGUCCUCAUCCUCUCCAACGACGAUCUCAACAGCGGCGGCGACGAUCCCGGAGUCGGAGACUCCUUUAACUUCGAGGAAUUCGGCGAAUCCGAACCCAAAUCCGAAGAGGAGCUCGAUCCCGGCUCGUGGCGACAUAAAUUUUGAUGGGUUGAUGGAGGAAGUGGUGGAGGAGAUAGAGGCGGCUUCUUCAUCCGGAGAUCCGCACUCGCAGUCGCUGAUGGGCUUCGUCUACGGGACGGGGAUGAUGAGGGAGAAGAGCAAAAGCAAAUCCUUCCUUCGCCAUAACUUUGCUGCAGAAGGUGAGAACAUGCAGUCAAAGAUGACACUUGCCUUCACGUAUAUGCUCCCAUCUCUUCGUAGAGAUUUACUUUGGACCAAACUCAGAAACCUGCUUUCAAGAAUCUCAAGCUAUGGCGAUUGUUAGCUCUCUACCUUUGUGAGUUUACUUUGAAGGAGCACACCAGGUCUGAAAAUGUUUUUCGUGAGUAAGUUUCAGAAAAAUCUCUGAAUAUAACUCUUUUUUUUACGAAAGAUCAUUCUCAGAGUCUUACUACGUUGAAUGAUUUGUCCCCGCAAUUUUUAUUUUCAGAUUAGCAUAAGGUCUUACUCUUAAGAAAUUUUUUUUGGGUAGCUUUCUCGGAUCUCUGGCCUAUAUGGCUAACUCAAAGCUUGGAUCUGUAUUGCAGUUGGUGUAUAGGAUAAUGGGAAUUUUAUCCUUGAGCAUGAGGUUGGAAUGAAAAUUGGAUGCAUUGACCUUGGUUUUGAGGACCAACCAGACACUGUCACAUUCACUGAAGGUUAUCAAGAUAUCAGUAAGAGAGGCAUCACACAGGACAGCUAUGAAUCUGAAGUUUGGCACUAUAAUAUAGGAUGUGAUGAAGUGUGACAGCGCCACCAUGAUCAUGAGUCUCAAGGCCACUAUUUAGUCGCUCGAAGGACAGAUGUGUUAUGUUACCGCAUAGAGCUCCAAGUAUGCCCAGAUUGCUGCCAAGAAAGGGCCAAACAGUCUCUACUGCCUUGGUGUUCCUCUCACCACCUACAUUCAAAGCUCAUGGAAAGAAGCUACGAUGUGGUUUCCAAACUCACAUAUAACAAUCUUUGUCUCUUCUCUAAUAACUUUGUUGCUACUUCAGUUGUGGUCAUUUCCACUGCUCUCAACUCCAAGGCCCCCAGGAGAGUCAUCUUUCAUCUUCUCACUAACGAGAUCCACUAAUGCGGCAAUGAAGUAAUGGUUCGCUAGACAACGUCAGGAGUCACUAUUGAGAUUCAGAUAUUUGAGGAUUUCAAAUGGUUUAAUGCUUCUUAUGUUCAUGUCUUCGAGGAGCUACAAGAAACUGAUUCGCAUAUCUAUUAUUUCUCUUCUCACAACGAUAAUGGACGCAGACAAAGCAAAUUCAGAAAACCCAAAUAUCUCAUGAAGUGUAAUAUUCUUCAGUCCCAGCUUAAAGAUCUCUGACAUAUUUUGAUAUUUGAGCUUCUAGGCAUUUCACAAGUCGCAAUUAUUUAGGCCAAGGGUUGCAUCUUCAGAGACGACUAUGAGUCGAAUUGAGAUGCAUUAACAAAUUAGCUAUGAAACAAAAAAGAAAGGAGAGGUCUAAGCUCUCUCUAGAAAAAGAAUGGUUGUGGCAUUACUCAUUGCAUAUAUAAAGUAUGUGACGCAUGUGUGGAAGAGGAGGCCAGAUUAAAAGUUGGUGCAGCUGCGAACCAACAAGAAAAACAAAGAAAGGAAGAAGCUGGUUUGGAAGUUUCUGUUACACCAAGUAACAUGAGUCUUAGGUGCAACGUGGGAAAGAAGACACAGAGAAAUGCUUAGGAUCAAGAGAAGUGUCUCCGCAGGUUACAGUCAGGCUCAUUUCAUUCUGCUACAGAACACGACGCAAAAAAGACGAGCUGGUAGAUGUGGAGGAGGCAAAACACUAGCUGAAUAAAGCAGGUUAGCCAGAAGAUGAAUUGGCAGCGUUGAAGAGGCAGUUCAUGUCCCCAAUGUCUACCACAGUUACAUCAAAAGAUGGUGCAAGAAAACUGGGGUUUGUGAGUUGGUGACAGGGAAUGUGCAAGGUACUGAGCUUCCUGAAGAGUGUGAUGAUGAAUCUGUUUGAGAAGACAAAGUAGAGUUCACUUAUGAGAUGCUGUGUUUGGAGGACCUGCCAGAAAGUGAGAGCAAGACGGUAAAGAGGCUUUGGGUGCGCUAGAGAGGAUAAAAAGACACAAACUAGCUCAGUGAGUAAAUAAUGUUGACAAAUUACUUGUGAUACAGUUUGGAAUUGUAAUAUGCAGAACAUGAUCGUAUUAUUAUCAUGAGAAAUUAUAUACUUCUGUUUUGUCUCAAUUCCACCAUGUUAGUUUAUUGCAUAGUUAUUUAUACUCUUUCCAUUAUUUGGCAUUUUACUGGAAUUACAUCUUUGAUCUUAAUGUGCAAUCUUUACUUUUGGUAUUUAAACAAUCGCAAAAACUAACAAAAGAAAGACUUAGAAUCUAACAAAGAGAACUAUAAUGAAAGAACCACUGAACCACACAAGAUAAAAAAAAAAAACCAGUUCAUGAGCUUUUGCCUCCUCUCUAAAGACAC